GGUAGAGAAGCGAAAGUGGAUGACCCUUCGGGAGCUGUACAGGUGCUGCAUGGCUGUCGUCAGCUCGUGUCGUGAGAUGUCGGUUAAGUCCGCUAACGAGCGCAACCCUCGCUGUGUGUUACAAGUGUCACACGGAACUGCCGGUCAUAAACCGGAGGAAGGUGGGGAUGACGUCAAGUCAGCAUGGCCUUUAUAUCCUGGGCUACACACACGCUACAAUGGGAAGGGACAAUAGGUUGCGAAACCGCGAGGUGGAGCCAAUCCAGCAAAACUUCCCUCAGUUCAGAUUGCAGGCUGCAACUCGCCUGCAUGAAGUUGGAGUUGCUAGUAAACGCAGGUCAGCCAUACUGCGUUGAAUACGUUCCCGGGGCUU
rnacentral:rRNA from 1 species